GGCGGCGUGCCUAACACAUGCAAGUCGAACGGAGAGUCUAUUGAGGAGACUUCGGUCAACGAGAUAGAUUUCUUAGGUGGCGGACGGGUGAGUAACGCGUGAGCAAUCUGCCUUUCAGAGGGGGAUAACGUUCUGAAAAGAACGCUAAUACCGCAUAACGUAUGAUGGUGGCAUCACCGACAUACCAAAGGAGCAAUCCGCUGAAAGAUGAGCUCGCGUCUGAUUAGAUAGUUGGUGAGGUAACGGCUCACCAAGUCGACGAUCGGUAGCCGACCUGAGAGGGUGAUCGGCCACAUUGGGACUGAGACACGGCCCAAACUCCUACGGGAGGCAGCAGUGGGGAAUAUUGGGCAAUGGGCGAAAGCCUGACCCAGCAACGCCGCGUGAGUGAAGAAGUAUUUCGGUAUGUAAAGCUCUAUCAGCAGGGAAGAAAUGACGGUACCUGACUAAGAAGCCCCGGCUAACUACGUG
rnacentral:rRNA from 1 species